rnacentral:tRNA from 1 species
AGGCGUAGCUCAGUUGGUCAGAGCACUUGCUUGACAUGCAAGGGGUCGGUGGUUCAAAUCCACUCGUCUUC